UCUCGGAUUGUCACAACAUAACGUUGUUUACUUAUGAGUUUGUUGCUUCAAAACGUGUGUUUUUUUUUAUGAUCAGCGAUUUAUCACUCCACCGUACAGUGAUCGAAUGCAGCAUGCAUCGAUAUGUUAUGGUUGACGAUCAUUACAAAACUUUGGGGAAAAUCAUAGCUGCUCAACGUCAUCUUUUAGCAUCAAAAGAGACAUGCAGCUGAUUAAAAAACAUUACCGGGACACCAUAUCAAUACCUUUGCAGCGAAAGGUGAAAUAGUUUUAGAGCUGGCCAUUGCUCGUUGGGCAAUCCCCUCACGAACACACCACAAAACGCCGCACGAUGGAAGAGCCACAGCAGGUUUCCCCUUCCAUAGUCGACGGAUGCUUGUGUCGCUAUGGAUUCCC